rnacentral:lncRNA from 1 species
GUACACUAAUCAUGCACGCAAACGUGUACGAUCAAGAUCAAGGACUCACGGGAAGAUAUCACAACACAACUCUAAAGUAAAAUAAGUCAUACAAGUAUCAUAUUACAAGCCAGGGGCCUCGAGAGCUCGAAUACAAGUGCUCGAACAUAAACGAGUCAGCGGAAGCAACAAUAUCUGAGUACAGACGUAAGUUAAACAAGUUUGCCUUAAGAAGGCUAGCACAAAAGUAGCGACGAUCGAAAAGGCAAGGCCUCCUGCCCGGGACCUCCUAACUACUCCUCGAAGCCGAACUCCUUGUAGAACCAUCCUCGGGAUCUUCUGGCUCCUGAACUCCAACAUCUGGUUGCGGCAUCCGAGAAGAAGAGGAAAAAAGGGGGAAAGAGGGAGCACAGCAACUGUGAGUACUCAUUCAAAGUACUCGCAAGCAAGGAUCUACACUACAUAUGCAUGGGUAUAUGUGUAAAGAGGCAAUAGCGGUGGACUAAACUGCAGAAUGCCAGAAUAAGAGGGGGGUAGCUAGUCCUAUCGAUGACUACGCUUCUGGCAGCCUCCGUCUUGCAGCAUAUAGAAGAGAGUAGAUUGAAGUCCUCGAAGUAGUAUCGCAUAGCAUAAUCCUACCCGGCGAUCCUCCCCUUGUCACCCUGUGGGAAAGCGAUCACCGGGUUGUCUCUGGAACUUGUCUGGUGUGUGUUUUAUUAAUUAUCCAGUCCUAGUUGUCAUAAGGUCAAGGUACAACUCCGGGUCGUCCUCUUACCGAGGGACACGGCUAUUCGAAUAGAUAAACUUCCCUACAGGGGUCCACCACAUAACCCAACAUGGUCGAUCCCCUUUGGCCGAACACACUUUCCUAGGACAUGCCCGGCCUUGAAAGAUCCACACGUCGCCGCCCUACCUAGGCACAAUAGAGAGGUCAGCAUGCCGGUCUAAAUCCUAUGCGCGCAGGGGUCUGGGCCCAUCGCCCAUUACACACCUGCAUGUUGCGUGGGCGGCUGGAAGCAGACCUAGCCCCCAUAAUACAAGAGCAGGCUUAAGGUCCAAUCCGGCGCGCGCCGCUCAGUCGUUGACGUUACGAAGGCUUGGGCUGAUACCACGACGUCGAGUGCCCAUAACUGUUCCCGCAUAGUUGGUUAGUGCGUAUAGGCCAGUGGCCAGACUCAGAUCGAAUACCAAGAUCUUGUUAAGCGUGUUAUUAUGAAGUAACCGCGGACACUGACCAGGGCCAGGCCCACCUCUCGCCUAGGUGGUCUCAACCUGCCCUGUCGCUCCGCUAUAAAGUAACAGUCAGGGGUCGUUGGGAACCCAGGCCCACCUCUACCAGGAUGGAGCCACUUGUCUUUCCAGCCCCCACAUCGAAAUCACUUGCGGGUACUCAACGAGUCGACCCGACUUUAGUCACCAUCUGUAUAGAUAAACUUCGAGUGAUCACGGCCCGAUAGUAUAGCAAGGCAGACUGACAAGAAUGUAGGGCCACUGAUGAUAAACUAGCAUCCUAUACUAAGCAUUUAGGAUUGCAGGUAAGGUAUCAACAACUGUAGCAACAAUGACAGGCUAUACAACAUAAUAGGAUUAACCGAAACAGUAACAUGCUACACUACUCUGUUGCAAGCAAUAUAGGGAUGAAUAGGCGAUAUCUGGUGAUCAAGGGGGGGCUUGCCUGGUUGCUCUGGCAAGAAGAAGGGUCGUCAACUCCGUAGUCGUACUGGGUAGCAGCGGCGUCGGUCUCGUAGUCUACCGGAGAAAAGAGGGGGGAGAAACAAUAAAUACAAUGCAAACAUAAACAUGAUGAUGCAUGAAAUGACAAUGAGCGGUGCUAGGUGUGCCCUAACGCGUUAGUAGAUGGUACCAGCGAAGGGGGAAACAUCCGGGAAAGUAUCCACGGUGUUUCGCAUUUUCGAACAGAUGAACUGGAGGUGAAAUGUUGUAGGUCUGCUAUGCUAGGGACGCGUGGCGCACAAACGGGCUGUGUAUCUGAAUUCGUCUCAUUGUUCUGAGCAACUUUCAUGUACAAAGUAUUUUCAUCCGAGAUACAGAUUAUUUUAUAUUAAUUUUUAAAGUUUAAUUUAUUUCUAAUUUUUCUGGAUUUAAUUUUAGUUCGAAAUAAAAGAAUAAAAUGCUACGGGUGGCAAGAGUUGUCCCAACAGAAUAUAUGUGUGGCUGGCUGGUGGGGUCGGGGAGUCCAGUCAGCUGUUGGCCAGUCAACUGUUGACUGGUCAACGGGGUCACACAAGACCCACCUGUCAUGGACUAGGUCAACCCAGUCAAGAGUUUGACUGGUCAAACUGGACAGGGGACCCAUAUGUCAUUUCCUGUGUUUAACUAGACUUUAGAUAAAUUAGAUUAACUAAUAGUGGGGUGCACUGUCAUUGGCUAGUAGUUAAACUAACUAGUGAUUAUUCCCUAAUCUAAUUUCCACGGGCCGGCCGGUGGUGGCUUUGCAUACACACGCACACAACAUGUGCUAGGCCAUGGCCACGGCCAUUAGUAGCGGCUGGAGCAGCAGUAGCUAGUGGUCAGGAGCAGCUAGAGCAACAGCGAUGGCUGGGCAGCACAGUAUAGCAGCAGCUAGCGACAAAGCAAGUAGUAGCGCAGCAGCUAAAGCAACAGCAACACGGGAAGCGGCGGCAGCAGAAGCAGUAACAGCAGCAUCACAGCAGGUGGCAGCAGGGGAGCAAGGACGCGGACAGCGCCGGCGGGGUGCGCACCGGUCCGCAGGUAAGCGCAGGGGGCGCAGGGGUCCUCGUGUGGCCGCGGCCAGGAGCAGGCGAGCGCGCGCGGACGCAGUGCUCCGGCCAUGGCGGCCAAGGUGAUUGCAGGCAAUUACGGUGACAGAUCGAGCCGAAAAAGCGGGGAAGUCGACAGAAGAGCUCACGGUGAGCGCGA